rnacentral:rRNA from 1 species
GGGUUGUGAGGUUAAGCGACUAAGCGUACACGGUGGAUGCCCUGGCAGUCAGAGGCGAUGAAGGACGUGCUAAUCUGCGAUAAGCGUCGGUAAGGUGAUAUGAACCGUUAUAACCGGCGAUUUCCGAAUGGGGAAACCCAGUGUGAUUCGUCACACUAUCAUUAACUGAAUCCAUAGGUUAAUGAGGCGAACCGGGGGAACUGAAACAUCUAAGUACCCCGAGGAAAAGAAAUCAACCGAGAUUCCCCCAGUAGCGGCGAGCGAACGGGGAGCAGCCCAGAGCCUGAAUCAGUGUGUGUGUUAGUGGAAGCGUCUGGAAAGGCGCGCGAUACAGGGUGACAGCCCCGUACACAAAAAUGCACAUACUGUGAGCUCGAUGAGUAGGGCGGGACACGUGGUAUCCUGUCUGAAUAUGGGGGGACCAUCCUCCAAGGCUAAAUACUCCUGACUGACCGAUAGUGAACCAGUACCGUGAGGGAAAGGCGAAAAGAACCCCGGCGAGGGGAGUGAAAAAGAACCUGAAACCGUGUACGUACAAGCAGUGGGAGCACGCUUAGGCGUGUGACUGCGUACCUUUUGUAUAAUGGGUCAGCGACUUAUAUUCUGUAGCAAGGUUAACCGAAUAGGGGAGCCGAAGGGAAACCGAGUCUUAACUGGGCGUUAAGUUGCAGGGUAUAGACCCGAAACCCGGUGAUCUAGCCAUGGGCAGGUUGAAGGUUGGGUAACACUAACUGGAGGACCGAACCGACUAAUGUUGAAAAAUUAGCGGAUGACUUGUGGCUGGGGGUGAAAGGCCAAUCAAACCGGGAGAUAGCUGGUUCUCCCCGAAAGCUAUUUAGGUAGCGCCUCGUGAAUUCAUCUCCGGGGGUAGAGCACUGUUUCGGCAAGGGGGUCAUCCCGACUUACCAACCCGAUGCAAACUGCGAAUACCGGAGAAUGUUAUCACGGGAGACACACGGCGGGUGCUAACGUCCGUCGUGAAGAGGGAAACAACCCAGACCGCCAGCUAAGGUCCCAAAGUCAUGGUUAAGUGGGAAACGAUGUGGGAAGGCCCAGACAGCCAGGAUGUUGGCUUAGAAGCAGCCAUCAUUUAAAGAAAGCGUAAUAGCUCACUGGUCGAGUCGGCCUGCGCGGAAGAUGUAACGGGGCUAAACCAUGCACCGAAGCUGCGGCAGCGACGCUGAUGCGUUGUUGGGUAGGGGAGCGUUCUGUAAGCCUGCGAAGGUGUGCUGUGAGGCAUGCUGGAGGUAUCAGAAGUGCGAAUGCUGACAUAAGUAACGAUAAAGCGGGUGAAAAGCCCGCUCGCCGGAAGACCAAGGGUUCCUGUCCAACGUUAAUCGGGGCAGGGUGAGUCGACCCCUAAGGCGAGGCCGAAAGGCGUAGUCGAUGGGAAACAGGUUAAUAUUCCUGUACUUGGUGUUACUGCGAAGGGGGGACGGAGAAGGCUAUGUUGGCCGGGCGACGGUUGUCCCGGUUUAAGCGUGUAGGCUGGUUUUCCAGGCAAAUCCGGAAAAUCAAGGCUGAGGCGUGAUGACGAGGCACUACGGUGCUGAAGCAACAAAUGCCCUGCUUCCAGGAAAAGCCUCUAAGCAUCAGGUAACAUCAAAUCGUACCCCAAACCGACACAGGUGGUCAGGUAGAGAAUACCAAGGCGCUUGAGAGAACUCGGGUGAAGGAACUAGGCAAAAUGGUGCCGUAACUUCGGGAGAAGGCACGCUGAUAUGUAGGUGAAGUCCCUCGCGGAUGGAGCUGAAAUCAGUCGAAGAUACCAGCUGGCUGCAACUGUUUAUUAAAAACACAGCACUGUGCAAACACGAAAGUGGACGUAUACGGUGUGACGCCUGCCCGGUGCCGGAAGGUUAAUUGAUGGGGUCAGCGCAAGCGAAGCUCUUGAUCGAAGCCCCGGUAAACGGCGGCCGUAACUAUAACGGUCCUAAGGUAGCGAAAUUCCUUGUCGGGUAAGUUCCGACCUGCACGAAUGGCGUAAUGAUGGCCAGGCUGUCUCCACCCGAGACUCAGUGAAAUUGAACUCGCUGUGAAGAUGCAGUGUACCCGCGGCAAGACGGAAAGACCCCGUGAACCUUUACUAUAGCUUGACACUGAACAUUGAGCCUUGAUGUGUAGGAUAGGUGGGAGGCUUUGAAGUGUGGACGCCAGUCUGCAUGGAGCCGACCUUGAAAUACCACCCUUUAAUGUUUGAUGUUCUAACGUUGACCCGUAAUCCGGGUUGCGGACAGUGUCUGGUGGGUAGUUUGACUGGGGCGGUCUCCUCCUAAAGAGUAACGGAGGAGCACGAAGGUUGGCUAAUCCUGGUCGGACAUCAGGAGGUUAGUGCAAUGGCAUAAGCCAGCUUGACUGCGAGCGUGACGGCGCGAGCAGGUGCGAAAGCAGGUCAUAGUGAUCCGGUGGUUCUGAAUGGAAGGGCCAUCGCUCAACGGAUAAAAGGUACUCCGGGGAUAACAGGCUGAUACCGCCCAAGAGUUCAUAUCGACGGCGGUGUUUGGCACCUCGAUGUCGGCUCAUCACAUCCUGGGGCUGAAGUAGGUCCCAAGGGUAUGGCUGUUCGCCAUUUAAAGUGGUACGCGAGCUGGGUUUAGAACGUCGUGAGACAGUUCGGUCCCUAUCUGCCGUGGGCGCUGGAGAACUGAGGGGGGCUGCUCCUAGUACGAGAGGACCGGAGUGGACGCAUCACUGGUGUUCGGGUUGUCAUGCCAAUGGCACUGCCCGGUAGCUAAAUGCGGAAGAGAUAAGUGCUGAAAGCAUCUAAGCACGAAACUUGCCCCGAGAUGAGUUCUCCCUGACUCCUUGAGAGUCCUGAAGGAACGUUGAAGACGACGACGUUGAUAGGCCGGGUGUGUAAGCGCAGCGAUGCGUUGAGCUAACCGGUACUAAUGAACCGUGAGGCUUAACCUUACAACGCCGAAGCUGUU